GACGAACGCUGGCGGCGUGCUUAACACAUGCAAGUCGAACGAACAGGCCCUGGUUUUGGGGGGUGCUCGAGUGGCGAACGGGUGAGUAACCCGUGGGUAACCUGCCACUGACUGAGAGAUAACUUCAGACAACUGGGGCUCAUACCGGGUAAGAGCUCCUGCUGCAUGGUGGGGGUUGGAAAGAUUCGGCGGUUGGGGUUGGACUCGCGGCAUUUCAGCUUGUUGGUGGGGUAGUGGAUUACCAAGGCUUUGACAGGUAGCGGGCCUGAGAGGGGGACAGGCCAAACUGGGAUGGAGAUACGGCCCAGACUCAUACGGGAGGCAGCAGUGGGGUAGAGUGUAUUGUGGGCGGAAGCCUAGUGCAGCAAAGCCGUGUGGGGGAUAAGAGCCAUCGCUUUGGAUUCUGAUUUUGUCUGUGAGGAAGCGUGAGUGACGGUAAUGGGUAAAGAAGCACCGGCUAACUACGUG
rnacentral:rRNA from 1 species